rnacentral:rRNA from 1 species
GUGGGGGAUAUUGCACAAUGGGGGAAACCCUGAUGCAGCGACGCCGCGUGGAGGAAGAAGGUUUUCGGAUUGUAAACUCCUGUCGUUAGGGACGAUAAUGACGGUACCUAACAAGAAAGCACCGGCUAACUACGUGCCAGCAGCCGCGGUAAAACGUAGGGUGCAAGCGUUGUCCGGAAUUACUGGGUGUAAAGGGAGCGCAGGCGGGAAGACAAGUUGGAAGUGAAAACCAUGGGCUCAACCCAUGAAUUGCUUUCAAAACUGUUUUUCUUGAGUAGUGCAGAGGUAGAUGGAAUUCCCGGUGUAGCGGUGGAAUGCGUAGAUAUCGGGAGGAACACCAGUGGCGAAGGCGGUCUACUGGGCACCAACUGACGCUGAGGCUCGAAAGCAUGGGUAGCAAACAGGAUUAGAUACCCCGGUAGUCC